UUUUAUUAGAUACCCCCGGUAGUCCUAGCCGUAAACGAUACUCGCUAGGUGUCGGCCACGGUGCGACCGUUGUCGGUGCCGUAGGGAAGCNGUGUAAGNGCAGCCACCUGGGAAGUACGGCCGCAAGGCUGAAACUUAAAGGAAUUGGCGGGGGAGCACCACAACGGGUGGAGCUUGCGGUUUAAUUGGAUUCAACGCCGGACAUCUCACCGGGGGCGACAGCAAAAUGAUGGCCAGGUUGAUGACCUUGCUUGACUAGCUGAGAGGGGGGUGCAUGGCAGA
rnacentral:rRNA from 1 species